rnacentral:rRNA from 1 species
AUGGUUCAACAAUGCUAUUUGUUCUUCAUGAGGAGUUCAGAGGAGGAUUUGGAGGGGGAGAAAGAGAAAGAUGAGGUAGGAGGAAGAGGAGAGGGGGUGGCGGGUGUCUCGGAGGAGGAGGCGGCUAAUAAAAAGUUGGUUGGAGUGAGGAGUGACAGAAGUACCAUCAGUUCAAAUGAUUGCACUCACCAAGCUGGCAAAAGGCAGAAACUUGAAAAGGUCAUCUCAGCAAGCCAGCAGCGCCGGAAGCAUGAGGCUCUGGUUCCCCUUCCAGCAGUGCGGGGCUGCCAUCCCGAAGCCCAGUCUGACCACGAGUUCUGCUACCGCAAGGUGACCGGCCAACAACUCAUCUCCCUACUGCUCUACAUCCAGAUCGUGCCACCAUCAACUCCCCGUCCAUACCACAACUUUCUCAAGGAAGCUGAGCAGGAGCAGUUCGGGGACGAAGCCAAGCGUCCAGGAACCAGGCAAAACGCCACAUUCAAUGUGAGCAGCGACGAGCGGAUGGGCGGCGACAACAUGCACCAUGGCAUGAUGAUCAGAUUGGCAACGGAAACGUUUAAAAUCGGCGUGCCGGCCGAAGUUAGCUCACAACGCGCGUUACUCUCGUACACACAACCACGUUGCUCUGGUCCCACGCACCGCUUCCUGCCUCUCACCUUAUCUUCUCAGGACGAAGCUCCUCCAUUCAUUCUUUCCUCCACUCGUUCCAUCCUCCUCCAUACGCAUUCCCUCCUCUGCUUCUUCUUUCUCAAAUCACUUCAUCCAUGGCAUCUCAUGCUCCACGCAGAGACGGCGUGUACAGCCGUCGAUUUUUUGUUGCCAUGCUCGGCCCAACCUCUCCCAUGUCGCAGUGUAGGCCAUGUUCGCCACCACCGUGGUUCCGGCAUGAUUUUUUGCUGCAUAAUUUUUGCUGGAACCGCAAUUUGUUUCUGCUGGAAGCAUCUUUCGUUUUUGCAGCAUAUUGAGAGGAUGCUGGUGCCUUCGUUGUAUGAUUUUUUGCUACAUCCAUUUUUCUUGCUUGAACCGCUCCAUUUUUUCCUGGAAGCAGAGCUCGGCUUUGCUACAAUGCUAGGACGGUGGCUGCCAAGCAUUUUGCUGCAUCGAUUUUUUUGGCUGGAACUAGCAAUUAGUUUUGCUACAUCCAGCCGAAAAGCAGAGCUGGAACUGUUUUUCAUUUAUGCUACCACUAGCGAAAACCAUUUUUUUGUUGUUGAAGCAUUUUUGCUGGAACCAGCAAGCACGGAAGCUACAACCGGGGAGAGUACAGGUUUUUUGCGAGCUCGUCGGAGGAGGUGUUGCGCCCGGCGACCGCCGUGCGCCGGGGAUGCAGCGGCCGCCACCGGAGCUGUGACUGUCGUAACGGGGACCUGCAGCUACAGGGACAAGCUGCUGCAUUCACGGAGCCGGCGAGAAACAAAAGAGACGACGACGGCAACGGCGGCGCCGGCGGCCGGCAAGGGCGGCGACAGGCGAAACACGCCGGGCAGAGCUUCUAGAUCGGGCGCGUCGCUCAUCCCUGGCGGCGCGACGGGAUUUUUAACAAGGCAGAGGAGGAAGGGUAGGAGAUCGUGCGGUUCCAGUUUUGCAGAUCGUACGGUACCAGUGCAACCUGCCCAAAUUUGGGCCGGCGCACCGGGGCCUAUCAGUCGCCCACACAAAAACAGAAGGUUUCACUUCGAAGGAUGGCGCGGCUAG